GGCUAACUCCGUGCCAGCAGCCGCGGUAAUACGGAGGGUGCGAGCGUUAAUCGGAAUUACUGGGCGUAAAGCGCAUGCAGGCGGCCUGUUAAGUCAGAUGUGAAAGCCCGGGGCUUAACCUCGGAAUUGCAUUUGAAACUGGCAGGCUAGAGUCUUGUAGAGGGGGGUAGGAAGUUUCAGGUGUAGCGGUGAAAUGCGUAGAGAUCUGAAGGAAUACCAGUGGCGAAGGCGGCCCCCUGGACAAAGACUGACGCUCAGAUGCGAAAGCGUGGGGAGCAAACAGGAUUAGAUACCCUGGUAG
rnacentral:rRNA from 1 species